UUUUUGGCGCGCAAAACCCCAAAGCAAACGCUGUCACUCGAGUUCCGUCCGUUGCACGCCACAGUUGACGGGCCACACUGUUUGACAGUCGCGUUUCACCACUAACAACUGAGUUUUUUUUUUUCAUUUUCUCACGAAUUUCUUCAACCAAAAAGGUUUUUCGCUCCGGGCAGGACAACCUUCGCAAGACCGACCCCGCAGGACAAGUUUUAUUAAUUUCUUUCGGUGUAAUGUUUAGUCUAUUUAUCAUGUAGGAUUUUUUACUUCGUUCUUCUUUUUAGGUUGAACUCAAUGACGAAAGGAUUGCGCAGAAAAGGAUUACCCUUUCCGGAGACGACCCUUUGGCCAGUUUUGAGCGUUCAAAGGAGAGAGCGCCGAGGUCAUCAGUGUCACCACUGGUCACUUUUUCACCUGGACAAGAGGGGGUUAGAGCUAUGGGUUUCCGGACAAGGGAAAGGGUAGGCUCGUCUUGGGUAAGUGAGUAUAAUGUCUUGAAGGAAAUAAAAAAAAACUCCUUUUUUGCAUAUUUUAAGCGCUUUAGUUCUAAAAAAGAAGUGCCGAAAGUGGUUGGUCACAACAUUUUGAGGCGAAAACUUCAUCGAUUUCCCUCAGCCUUGGUUUGUGAUUUUGAUGCAAAAAGGACACGUUUUUCCCAUCGCAAACCCAAUUCCGAGGCGCUGAGAAAGGUGGGUAAAUUAAAGUGAAUUUUUCAUUUUCCCCGGAAAGGUGGGCUUCACAUAUGCCAUCGGGACUCCUCGUGGUGGGACGACAACCGGGACAGGAAGGUGACGAUGCGUCGUGCGUUGAAUUGCUAAACAGGACAUUCGGUUGGGUGGUGACGUGGACUAGAAAAAAAUGGAAGGAAUUUGGUUCAAGGUGGUUUUGGGAUUGGUACCUGGACUUCCUUUGCGGAUAUGGAUACAAAAUAUUGAACCUUUUGGAGUUCUUUUUUUUUUCAUUUUAAGGAAGGCCGACACCGUGGGAAGCGCAAUUGUAUGCAAAUUGGGAGCGCUCAAUCAAUUUUGACGGAGCGCGAGGGAAUAAAGUGAUUUGAGUGGAGGUUAUGAAAUGCAUACUGAUUUUCUCUUUCGGAACUGAAGAACAUGAACAUGUUGUAAUUUUUACACAAAAAUAAAUCUGAGAAGUAAAUGUG